UUGAAAAGGCACACCUUCUCCCUCCAUUCUGACAAUGGCGAAGCCAAUUUUUAAACAAAAAAAACCAUCUAAAGAUUCUUCAAUUGCCGAAAGAGAGACGGAGAGGGUAUUUGUUCUGUACAAGAAAUCUGGUAAUAUUGUGGACGUAUGCAUCAAAGAGAGAACAAGAUCAUUGCAUCCUUUAAGUUUUUCAGAAAUAUGGUUACUAGAUAAAAUAUUCUCAAUUGAAGAUCUUUUUGGAGCAACUAUUUAGAGGGAGACAAAGACAGAGGCAUAAAAGAGAUAGAAUUGGAUGAAAUUUUCUCCUGCUGUUAACUUGGCUGUAUCAGUAAUUUGUUAAUGUCGGGUGAGGUGGUGCAGUAAGGCAGUUGCCUUGGUAUGACUCAUAUCUUGAAGGGAGAGAGAUACGUUUGUGAUGGAAGAGAAUUUAUGAAGAGAGAUCAAUUAUAAUAGGGUAUCAAUCCGUUGCAAUAAUUCUGAAUUGGAAAAAAAUGAAAAAAUCAUGUAAAAUUAUUACACAUGUACACGCAUACAACAUUUUCUUAAA